GAUGAACGCUGGCGGCGCGCCUAACACAUGCAAGUCGAACGAUUAAAGCACCUUCGGGUGUGUAUAAAGUGGCGAACGGCUGAGUAACACGUGGGCAACCUGCCCCCUUCAUUGGGAUAGCCACGGGAAACCGUGGAUAAUACCGAAUACUUCGAGACUUCCGCAUGGAAGACUCGAGAAAGCUCCGGCGGAGAGGGAUGGGCCCGCGGCCUGUUAGCUUGUUGGUGGGGUAACGGCCUACCAAGGCAAUGAUGGGUAGCUGGGUUGAGAGACCGACCAGCCAGAUUGGGACUGAGACACGGCCCAGACUCCUACGGGAGGCAGCAGUGGGGAAUCUUGCACAAUGGGCGAAAGCCUGAUGCAGCGACGCCGCGUGCGGGAUGAAGGCCCUCGGGUUGUAAACCGCUUUCAGCAGGGACGAGGCGAAAGUGACGGUACCUGCAGAAGAAGCCCCGGCUAACUACGUG
rnacentral:rRNA from 1 species